AAUCCGGCCGAUCCGGCCACCAAUUGGACCGGGUCUUGUGUCCAAAAUCAUCUACUCGGCGAGAGCUUUCCAUAGACACCAAGAACGCUGAAAUCCAUCGAGCGGAUUGUCCGAUUUUUGCUCGGGAAGAUUUUAGCCCAUUUCGACUUUUGGGCUAGAUUUCUCGAAAACCGUGAAUCCCACGAGAAAACCGAGGCCACCAGCACGCUCCAUUCGUCGAGAGCUUCGCAACGACAUAAAUUUCGAAUUUUUCCGACACCGUUUUUUGGUAUCCUCGAUUCGCGGAAAUUCGACAGUUGACCGGGUCUGCAAAAUUCCGGCCAGACAGACCCGUUACCGGAAAAGUCCCCGAAUUGGAUCGAGGUUUUGGCUAGCCCCCCAUUGUCAGACGUCCCGAGCGCGUUCCCGAAGUCGGAAUCGGCAAAGGUGAGCCGGGACAGCCUUCUUCCUCCGCCCAGCCGCCACAGUGAUUGUCGUCAAGUCUGUGAGUAGAAUAUUAAUUUUAAUUGUAAUUUCGAUAUUAUUAUAUGUUCAGCAUGCCCAUGCAUCACUUAUAUGCAUAUAUUUAUGUAGUUAAACUCUAGUUACGAUUUUUGAUGCAUUGAUAAAUGUUAAAGUGCCAUGUAUGUUGUUGUGGUAAUUUGGAGCAGUGUGCGUGUGAUGUGGUGUGGACUAUGGAUAGGACGGGUAGAUACGGCUUGAGUUCUUCGCUGGGACCCGGUCCUUCGGGGUAGACACGGCUUGAGUUCUUCGCUGGGACCCCGAUUUGGUA